AGAAGGGAAGAUUCUACUUAGGAGCAGCAUAUGACAAUCAUGAUUCCCUAAAGCUGAUGCAUGUGCUCCCUCACCACAUUAUGCAAUCUAAUAGAUAUUUUAUUGUCCAAGAUUUUCAUCAUUAAAAGGAAGGAUGAGUUGAAGGUAAUGCCCCAGGUUUUCCAAGAUUGUCAUCUAAAACAGUUUGACUGUUAUGUCAUCCACCUAGUAGCAUCUUGAAGCUUAUGUGAUAUCAGAAAAAGCUGGUGGCAUAAUGUGCCUGUAGGAAGACUUGGUUCUUGAAUUUCAACCAAGGUCCGCUAAUGCGUGAACAGGUUUGUUUACUUAAUCUGUCUAACUCUCUUGGAAAGAUUUUGUUAAUUUCUUUUUUAUUGCCCUUCCCCCAACAUAAUAUAAUGCAUGAAAAAUGGAUUUUUUUUUCUUUUUAAAAAAAAAUUUAAUAAAUGCUUGCAUAAGUGUCAUGGAUAAAGUUUAAAUUUACACAAAAUGAUUCAUAUUUUCCCAAUAUUAUAUUGUUCUUGAGCUUUAGCCAAUUAUCAUAUUUGCUUUCGUACUUUUAACAAUUGGCCUAGUAAUUGCUCUCUUUUCUUGAAAUCUAGCUUUUCAAUUGUAGUUCAAAGUUCUAGCAUUAUAUUUAUUACCGAUUGUGCAUUCUAUGUUCAGAAAAGUAUACAUAGCAAAGGGAAAAGGGAAAUUAAGGAUCACCUAUGUCAUAAUCAAAAAUGAAAAAUAGACACUUUACAUCAAUUCUAGCCAUAAUGUGCUCUUUUUUGAUGAAAUCCAAGCCAGUGAAAAGAAGGAAUAAGAUAUUUCCUGCUAAACUCAGUCAUGGCGGUAAGGAUAGGAGCAAUUAGAUUUCUUCCCCUACUUAUUACAAAUUCCAGGACCUACAAAAUUUUGAGGUGAGUUUGUAAGUUUAGAUGUCAUUUUAUCUUUAUUAUAUUGAUACCCAUUUAUAUCAUCAGUUUGAGUCAUUAAUAUUGAUUGUGUUGGGGUGGAGAAGCUUUGUAUCUCUUCAAGAAAUGAAUUCCAGGGACAAGAAUGCCCCUACCUUCCAGUAAAGAUGGAGUGCAAUCCCUCUCUUUGGACAUGUAAUUAAGUGGAAGGUUUGACACAGUAGUUGAAGGUUUAUUUUAACUUAUACACUUGUGAAGCCCUAGCUUACAGUCAAAACUGCUGUUCACUUUGAAAAGGAGAGAGAAGUAGUCAGAGUGGACCAGGGAUAAAAGAUUGUUCACUUUGAAUCACAAUAGAUGGACUUUUAAAUUGAUUUCAUUGCUUCUUUGUUAUUCACUAAAAUUUUGGCAAAUUGACAACAGUGUGGAGUUUGAUGACUCUGUGCGAGUUAUAUGGAAUUCUUCAAGGUUGCACACAAGUCAAACAUUAUGUGGGUGGUGACCAAUGCUCAAGUUGGUGGCUCAUCUUUUUGAACAAGCAUGCAACUUGCAAGAAGCUGAGAUUUCUAUCGACAGGGGGAAGGAUGUGGUACCUUACUAACUAGUAGAUGCUGGAAAUACUUAAUUUCCCAAUUAGAGUUCUUGUACUUCAGCAUAGAUAAUUUAAGAUUGUCAACUGGAAUCAUAACUUGUACGUAUCUACAAUUGUUGAUUGGGUAUAUUCAGUAUCACCAUCGACAAUGCAUCAAGUUCUGACAAUUCAUCCCCUUUUCAAAUCUUCUGUUAUGACUCCCUAACUUAAAGUUGCUGUAGCAGUGACUUCAACACUGUUCAAGAUUCUGAGAUUUGUGUAAGAAAUUGAAGAGCCCAAUUAGGAAGAACAAAUUGAAACUCGAAUUUGAUGCAUUUUUUCCUGAGAUCAAGUUAUGGAUUUUGGAUUCUAUGGUCAGUACACAAUCCAUGGAUGCUGAAGGAAUCCAUGGUGUGAUCUCGUAGUUCCUACAAGUUGGCACUAGGUUGUUGACAACCAACAAUAUAAUAAUUUGUAAUAGUUCAUCCACCUAUCGAAUCUUGUGUUGUUAUCAUGGCCUCAUAGGGCCCUUUGUUCCAGUGACUUCAACAUUUUACUAUACAUUGAGUCUUCUCUUUUCAUCAGCCUUGUUGUCUUAACUUAAGAGGCCAACUUGUUUGGGUGCCCCAGUUCAUACAAAUGUUCAAGAUGAUAUUUCCAUAAAGUUAGUAGAUAAGAGGUCAGGUGCAUGUCGGCCAUGGAGUGCUGAAGAAAGGAGAAGGGCUAUUAAUAAGAAUUAAGUUCUAUUGAUAAAAGAGAAAAGAGCGAGAUGCACAACAGUGGUUGAACUAGAAGGCAUUCUUACAUUGUUUGACUCUCCUGAGUAGCUCCAUAAAUGCAUGACCAAGCUGGCUUCUUUGAAUUGAACUUCUGAUAAAUUGGUUCUACUCAGUGUUGCACAGGCCAUCAAACAAUAUAGCCAUUCCAAACAUGUUCUGCUGUCUCACUUUCAGCUUUGACAUCAUCAACCAUCGUUGAAACUUGCUCUAAACUAGAGCUUGUCCUUAGCAAGAAAGAACUGGAGUUCUCAAGAUUACAUGCCAAGUAUAUGGAUCAUGAUCAAAAGCUUUUACAGUGCUUCUCCCUUUUAUUAAUAUUGAGAAAUUUGUCCUCAGAUGAUCUUAGUUUUCAUAGUAGGUCAUUGUAUGUAAAUAACGUUUAUCAGGCAUACUUUGUUUUGUACUUGUAAUCAUUUUCAAGUUGUUAUUCAUUUUCAAAUUGUGUUUCUUGUUA